GGGGCCUGACAACCGACCCCUCCCGAAUAAGUAGAUCACCGCUACGGAGGCGAUCUUGUGGUUCGGCCGAGCCAACCAAACCCUAAGAAUGGCGCAGGACGAGGCGUCGAGAUCCAGGUCGAGGGCGGCGGCGGCGGCGGCGGCGGGCCGGCGAUCUCGACGCUGGGAUGGCCUCUGGGCAAUUGGGGCAUGGUGGUGUGCGGCGUCUGCCUAGGUCUUGGGCGGCUCUGUGCCCGGAGCUGUGGCCGGUGAUCGCGGCGGCGCUGCAGUGGGUGGCCGUGCAUGGGCUGCUACGUGACGUGACGGCAUCGCUGCUGUUCGAAUUGAAGUUUGGUUGUGUGUGAGUGCACCGGGAGGAGCUGGUACCCAGCGAACUAUCACUUUUGUUAAAGCAGGGAUCGAGCCUUUUGUCAAAGAAGAAAUAUAUACUCCAUUUUUCCCACUGUGGUGGGUGGUCGUCGAUUCACAGUAGGCCGACCAGUCAUGCAACAGCGCUGGUGAGUCCUGGCAUCAGGUUUCGUUGACCGUUGGCUUGCUUGUUGAUGUGGACUACAUCUCCUACCAGCAAGACGGUCGGUAACCAGGUCUUCGACAAUGGAGCUCUCCAGUAUCGCCCCCUCUCCAUAAAUUUGCAGGAGUAUGUGCCCGUUUAUCCUCUCAAUAUGUUUGAUUUAGUUAAGAAGUUUAAGUAUCUGUAUUUUAGUAAUCAUAUCCCAAGUUCCCAACAGGCAUAGGCUAGGCAUUGCAGUUUCAGUUUUGAUCUCCUCCUCCAGUUUAUUUGUUUCGCUUAUAGAUGUCCUACAAGCUUAAUACUCGAGACUAAUAUCUUUUUUCCUAGUUGGUAUGUGUUCGAGCAGGUGCCGUCCUUGUUUUUGUUCAUAGACCGUGUAAGUAUUAGUUUUCUUUUACUCGUCAAGUAGAGGCCAUGGUUGAUGGAAGAGUGCCCAACAAUGCCGCAUACCAUGUACAUCUUGCCUAAAAAGUUUCUUUUCUUCAAUAACUGAAGCUCUUUAAUUUUGAAACUGGGAAGACUUAGUUUUAUGCCCAUAAGUCUGAAUCUUUAUGGAAUUUGUGGCUUCUUUGCUAUGGUUGGUUUUUUUGUUAGUACUAGCUUGUUCUAAUGUAGACUAUUGGCUUGCAUCCCCUUCAUUACUAAUAAAAAUCCCCAUCUACAAACUAGCUUGUACGGUAUUAUUUAUUGUGUUCCUUAAAAAAAACUGUACGAAUUUUGUCAUGGAUGUAAAUUAUCAUUUGAAGAUUUUAAAUUCAAAAUCCUAGAGAUUUAUGUUUACUUCUUGUUUAGGAGGAGAAAUCAGAAGUUUAAGGUUCCGUUUGUUCUGGUAGAUUUUUUCUAAUUUGAAAAUUUACAUAAUUCUAAUAGUUUAUGUUCUCUUUGGUUUACUAAUUCAUUCAGAUUCAGAAAUUACAGUGUGCAAUACCUUUAUUUUUCUAGUCCUUUUUUAGUGUGAUGUUGUAACAUGUCAUUUUUGUACUUAUAUAUUUAUCGAAGUAAUGAAUGUAUGAUUGAUAAGUGUCUAGAGGGGGUGAUUAGACUACUAAGCACAAUAAUGGACUCUUUUCCCAAGUUUUAAUUUCUUGUCAGAGUUUAAGCUUUUCUAGCAAGCUAUAGAGCACCCUACACAUGCAAGUCUAGAGUAUAGAGCGGAAAGUAAAAGACAAGGAGGUAGAGUUGAUAGAAUCGCAAACACAAUUGGCUUGGUGAAGAUUUUUUCUGUAAUUAAGAUAGUUGGCGUUAUCUUACAUCCACGCUGAUGGAGACUUCGAUCCAUGAAGGAUAUAAGAGCACAAAGAUCUUGGUUGCGAGAUUUCACGGAGGAAUGGUCCAUUUCGGACACUCACCUAUGACGUGUCCACGAAGGAGCAACCACACCUAUUCCACCAUGACUUACGCCCACGAAGGACUAGCCUCCACUAUGGUAAAUCUUCAGGAAAUAGGCGAUCUCCGGGCCCGUACAAACUUUUGGCUUCUUCACAAACUUGAAGACUCCCAAGUACACCUAGUCGAUUUAGGAGGCGCACACCCUCUGAAAGUAGCAAGAUAGCGGUUGAUUAGACAAUGAAUCCCUUGCUUUUGUGUUUCAAAAGAUAAUCUCCUCAAUACUCAAAUUCUCAAGAUUUGGCUAUGGAUUUGAAUAGGUAGGAGUGGAAAGAAAGAGGGGACUAGAUCUCAAAGGGUUUGAUUGGAUGGUUGGAGUAGAUGUUCCUUUGAAAUCAGCACAAGGAGGUGGAGUUCUCAAAACAAAUGAUUGGAGUGGAGCUUGCUUGAGUUGAACUGGUGGGAUAUGUGGGGGUAUAUGUAGGCUGGACCAGAAAUCUGACAAUUACUACACACAUUUUUGCAAAUCUCAGAGGCUCCGACUGAUUUGCUCGGUGGCUCCGUAAUGAACAAAAGAGUCAACUUUUAGAUGCAUCAGUAGGUCCAAAUGAAAUAAAAUGGUGGCUUCGAAGUGAGUACCUCAGUGGUGGCACACUCUUUGUUUACGCUUCAGAAGUUUCGAGUGGAAUGGGUCGGAAUUUUUGACGUGGAAACAAAGUUUUCCCGGUUGCUUCAGUGGCUCCAAAUGAAAUGUUGGAAGCUCUGAUUGAACUAGGCGUUCGGAAUCCAUCUGUUUCGGUGGCUCUGAGUAGAAAUGCUUUAGCAACACCGAGUUGCAUGGAAUUAGCUACAUAUAGUUUAAAACUUUGAGGAGUUUUGGAGUUUGAUCUCUAAGCACAUGGAGCAAAAGACUCAAAUUCACAUCCUCGUCCCUUUUGAUAGUAUCGGCAUAUGUCUGGACUCAAUGUGAUCAUGGAUCACUAAAAUGAAAGGGGUAGAAUCCUUUAGCUUGUCCAAUACUUGACUUUAAGCAUUUUCAGUGGUCACUUCCAUUCCAAUGUUGUACCUAAAAGAACUUUUCCUGAAAUAUACUUUGAAGUGCCAUUAGUUCUUUGAGCUUUGUUGACAUGAAUUACCAAAAUUCACAUUGGAGAUUUUGAUCAAAUAUUCAAUAAAAUUACAAUUCAUCAUGAUAAAAACAACGCUUUCAGAAGCAUGUGGUAUACAAGAGCUCCCCCUAAAUUUGUGCAUUAUUUAAAAUUUGCUCUUGAAUGCAAAUGCACAAUUGGUUAGGUAUACGAGAAACUUUUCUAUAGCACAUGAAACUUGGUGGAGCACGUCAACAAAAAAAAUUGUGUCAAUGACCACAAAAUAUGCACCAAAAGAGUAUGUCAAUGACCACAAAAGAUGCAUUAAAGCACAAACAACUAGCAUAUCCCAAAUAAAUUGUUUGGGAGUACACUUGUAACUAGGGCAUAUCCUUUCAGUUAGAAUAAGCUAUUCUUCAUCCUGAUCGAUCGAUCGAGCAACAUCUUGCAUCCAACCAAGCCACCAUUCUGCCGAUCUAAUCGUCCUGAAAGGAUAUGCCCUAGUUGUAGGUGUGCUCUCAAACAAAUUAUAUUUUUAGCAAAACUUUGUAUAAAGCCAUGAAAGAUAGUAUCGGAGAGUAUGACCUUCCAAUUUUUCUUGGAUUUGAAACUGAAAAUCAUUGAGAACACAAUUAUUGAUGUUUCUAUGGAUAGCCUAGAUCUGUGUAUGCUUACCAUGCAUUGCUAAUGAUAGCGCAUGAAAAUUACUAGGCAUGCCAUCCAGUGUGUUGUUUGUUUGCCAAAUAGGUGUAGAAACAUUAUUAUACCCGAUAAACAUAUUUAGAAAGAAGCAUUAUACAAACAAAAGUGGAAGAUUGGCAUCAAUCAAGGAUCAUGGUGCACCUUUUAAUUGAGUAGAUUGCAGAAGAUAAAAAGGUGUUGAUUUCUCCGUCAGGUGCUUCAUAUAAUGAUCCUCUUGAACAAACCACUUUUGCUAGGGCCUUCUGACUACAUCACAAGAAAAGAGUUGCACUAACGGAGAACAUCACAAUGUUGCGCCUGGUAAAUUGGGUUAAAUUAGUUUUGAUUACAUUGGCCAUUCCACUCAUUCGCGACGCUCAAAGAAGACCAGUGCUUCUAGCCCUCUAUUCAUGGUUGUGUUGUUUCUUGUUGUGACUAUCAUAUCAUUUUUUCUUCACACUCAAGCAUCAACCUGAUUUUAUCCAUGCAUACCCUCUUGAUAUGGAGUUGCAAGUGUCUAAAUGUAUGAUCUUUUAUAGGUUUACUAUAUGGAUAAUUUGUUGCGAGAGCCUUCUACCACUCCCAUCAUUACAACAUGCAUAACUGAUUUAUGAUGCAACAAAUGUUGAAUCUCAUAGAGCAAGAUAACAAAGUGGAUAGCAAAGUUGAGACAUCUGAGGCUUUGUCGCUCAGUUGCUCAACUAUCUGAUAACAUCUUAUAACAUCUUUUAUUAUUUUUAUUUCUUCUUGUACUAAUUGCGGAGCCAACAAAGUCUACAUAUAGGUUGCAUCCCCUUCAACAGGUGUCCCUCCUCCAUUGAGUUCACCUGAUAUUCCUUCUGGAUCCUUUUAUGCUUCUUCUGCAACUUUUGUUAGCAUGCAUCAUCAUCUCGUACGAACCAACGAGAUGAUGAUGCAUGCUAACAAAAAAUGUAGGAGGAGCAAAAUGGGAUCCAAAAGGUAUAUCUAUUGAACUGGCUGGAGGAGGGACACUCAUUGAAGGGGAUGUACCACCCUCAGUGUAGCAAGUGGUGUGCUAUCUCCUAAACUAGUACAAGAAGAUGUUAUCAAAGAAAUGCGUUUGGGAAUUCAAUAGUUGAGCAAUUUACUCGCAAAACCCUGAAUGUUUCAAACCCGUCAUCCACUCUUAUCUUGCUCUAUGAGAUUCAACAUUUGCUCCCUUGUAAAAUUAGUUAUGCAUGGUGUAACGAUGGGAUUGGUUGAAGGAUCUCACAACAAAAUAUCCAGAUAUAACCUAUAAAAGAAAACACAUUAAGACACUCGUAACUCCAAUACCAAGAGGAUAUGCAUGGAUAAAAUCAGGUUGAUGCUUGAGUCUGAAGGAAAAAUUAUAUGAUACUCAUAACUAGAAACAACACACAUCCAGGAAUAGAUGGGCUAGUGGCACCGGUUUUCUUUGAGCGUCAUGAAUGAGUGGAAUAGGCAAUGUCAUCAAAAUUAAUUUAGCUCAAUUUAUCAACGCAACGUUGAUGUCCUUCGUUAGUGCAACCUCCUUUCCAGUGAUGUAGUCACAAGGCUCAAGCAAAAGUAGCUUGUUAAAGAGGAUCAUUAUGAAGUAUCUGACUUAGAAACAACACCCUUUUUUAUCUUCUGCAAUUUGUUCAAUUAAAUGUUGCACCCUGACGUAUACACAUUGAUCGAUGCCGAUCUUCUACUUUAAUUUUAUAAUGCUUCUUUUUGGAUGUGUUUACCGGUUACAACAAUCUUUGUACCCUAUUCAGUAGACCAAGAACACAAUAGAUGGUGUGCCUAGUAAAUUUUCAGAUACUUAUCAUUAGCAAUGUCCAAGGUAAGCGUACUCGGAUGUGGUCUAUCCAUGUGAAACAUCAAUAACUUUAUGUUCUCAAUGCUUCUGAGUUCCAAAUCAAAGAAAAUUCCAAGGUCAUACUCUCUGAGCUUAUCUUUCGUAGCUUUAAACAAACUUUUGCCGGCUAAUACAAUUUGUUUGGGAGCACACUUAUAAUUAGGACAUAUCCUUUUAGUAUGAUUAAUCAAGCCAUGAUGACAAAGGACAAUAACAACAAUAAUAAGGUUAACAACAGGACAUGACAAAAAUCGUUGAAAGUAUAAAUCUCUACUACUUAAAAAGUAAGUAAGGUUCCUUUUCCUGCAUAGGACUGCAUUCUACCUACCUUUUGUCCCACCUUGUUUCUAUUUUUUUCCUCCCUCGCUUGACUCCUCCAUGAGAACCCAUCCGGAUCCUUCCUCCAUCCCAAGUUGUCUGUUCCUCUCUAGCCGAUCUGACCACUUGAACCAGACCUCUAGGGUUCCAGCGCCGCCAACCCUGCCCAGCUCCCAUGACCCCUCCUUCCUCCCAGACCGAGCCCUAGCAUCAUCUCUGUGCGAUCCUUGACCCGCUGCUUCGAUCAUCUGCUGGUAUGGAUGCACGGUCACCGAGUGAUGCUGUUUGAUGUAGCUGACGGGAAUCGGACACUACGGGUUCACCAUCGCUAGAUCCCGGAGCCUUGGGGCUCGAACUGAUGGACGUGCCGUGAUGUUGUUGUUAGGAGAAGAGGAGAAGCGGACAAUGCUAAUGCAGUGGGCCGAGGCUGAGGCCCAAUCACCACCCUCUUCUCCCCGCUGACCUCAGGUCCAAGCUACCGACGUGGGAUCCAGGCCGCUGCCGCCGUCACCCUGAAAAAGCGAGGUGACUGGACGACAACGACCAAAACGAUGCCCAGAAGUGCAAGGCGGCUGGACGACAGCGACCAUGAUGAUGCAUGAUAAGGUGAGCCAGAGGAAGCUGCAUGACGAUGAGCACGGCGAUCCGUCGUCCUCGACCGCGGCUGGUUCCCUCAGACAGCGGGUGGCGGCGGAUCCAGUCAUGCUCCUCGAGCUUUCCGUCGUCGUGCUACCGAGGGCAUCUUCACCCACAUCUCCUCACGCCGGGUUGCCAGCACGUGGUGUGGUGGAUUUGGUUUUUAGAAUUUGUUUCACAGCUAUUUAACUGAAAUGAUGAGCUCCCAAUCAAGCCAGGCUCCAGGAAAAGAUAACAAGUGGUACAAGGCUGGCCAUGUGAGCCAGUAGGACUACAAGUCUACAAGGAUCUACAGUACUGACAUGGCACAGUCUACGUAAGGGGGUGCCUCAGUUUGGUCUGCCGUAGGCCUUCAUCGCUAUUUUGAAUCACAUGCUCCUUUUAGUCGGAGGUGAGGUGCUCAGAUUUGGAAAAUUGGUUACUCUUGUUUUGUUCACUUCCUAACUUGCAAUGAACAAAACAGUCUCUGCAAUAUUUUGUUUUUGUUAUCUUCAUUAUAUGAGCACAAAUAUGUCUAUCAUAAGAUAUGCUAGAGUUGACAACCGGAACUAGCCACUUAAGCAUUAACAUUGUAUAGGCAGUAUAUACAUUAAAACAAUCAAUGGCGGUGCUAAUUUCGGCUUUUUUUAUUUCUGGAGUCAAGAAAUAAACUUUAUUUAAAAUGUUUAUAUAUUCAUCUGAAUUGGAAACAAUCUUGCUGCACCAUUGAAGUUAUCUAAUGAGGGAUACUUCUUUUCUAUUUUAGCGUAUCAAUGGCCCCAGGAACUCGAGUGAGGAACACAUCAUGCCCCUUCAAACUGACAUAUCAAUAUUAUCAUCAUGUAUCGAAGAUACUAGGCACCAUAUGACUUUCUGAUAUAUGUAUAUUCUUAUGCUUAGAAGUUUCCCACUUUAAAAUUAGAUUUAACUCACCAUAUAUAAUGCACUCAAUCCAAUCGAAAAGAUCAAGUAGCAAUUUUCCCAAAACAAUUGUGUUUACACUUGUUCUCCUACUGUUUAGAGGUUGGUUUAGUUUUACCCUGUCAAAACAAAAUCAAAUAUACUUCUCCAAAACUGGUCUAGCUUAUCACAUUGCGAAGAUCCACACUGUUGCAGUUCCCUUUGUAAACAUGUACUUUCAGUGCUGGUGAUAUUUUUAUCACAUCAUGCAAUUUAGAUAAGGCCUGAAAACAGCCUCUGACAGAACUGUAGGGAAAGGCUGCGUACAAUAGACCCAAAGUGGUCGGACCCUUCCGUGGACCCUGUGCAAGUGGGAGCUACAUGCACCAGACUGCCCUUUUUUUUAUGCAAUUUAGAUAAGAAAUACAAAGAAGAAAUAACUAGGUCAUAUCAAGGGUGGUUUCACUCUAAAUAUGACUAAUCUAUACCUACUAUUAAAGGGAGGUGAUAUUCUUGGUUUGGUCCCGCUUCAAUUAAUUUCACGUACGUUAUUUGGUUUCGUUACUUGCCACCCUUUUUGUCCCAACGGAGGAAGCCCAACCAGCGGUGCACUGUGGCCCAAGUCCGGAGAACUGGCAAAAAAAUAAAAUUGCCGAUGGGAGGGUUCGAUCUCAUAACCUACCAACUGGCCAUGCACAGUUUGUCCAACUGAUCCAGCUAGAGAUAUGAGAGGAUUUUUCUUCUUCCAUUGCAACGCAUGAGCCUUUUUCUAGUAAACAAAAGUCAUUUAGAGCUUCAAAUGUAGGAAUUAUAUAUGAUCUAUUGGAUUUGUAACUUCCUAACAAUUAGAAUAGAACACUUACUCAGCAAAGCAAAUUAUGAUAUAUUGGUUCGUUUUUCAAAGCAAUCAUGACAAUAAAGUGGACGUGGAUAGAAAAACAAGGCCUACCAGGAGAAGAAAGGUGAGGAGGAAGAAAUGCACAAGAGAUUUGGUUGCACACAUAAACACUCUCGGUAGUUAGCGACUUGAAUCUUCGAGGUAUACCUGUAUGAUAAUUUAUACUCCCUCCAUUCAGAAUUACCUGUCGUUCAACAUUAUUUGCAGGAGUGUGUGCCCAUUUAUCCUCCGAACAUUAUUUUCUCAAGAAAUGAAGCUUGUGAAUUGUGAAAUUGAAAAAAGUUGGUUUUUUUACGCAUAAGUCUGAAUCUUUAUUGACUUUGUGGCUUUUUUGCUAUGGUUAUUUUUUUUUGUUACUACUAGCUACUUCUAAUGUAGACUAUUGGCUUGCAUCCCCUUCAUUACUGAUAAAAAUUCCCAUCUACAAACUAGCUUGUACUAUUAUUAAUUAUAUUCCUUUAAAUAAAUUUUUUUUUUACAAAUUUUGUCAUGGAGGUAAAUUAUCAUAUCAACUUUAGGAGGAGAAACCGGAAGUUUAAGGUUCUGUUUGUUCUUGUAGAAUUUUCUCAUUAUGAAUAUUUACAUAAUUUUACUAGUCUAUGUUCUCAUAGGUUUACUAAUUCAUUCGGAUUCGAAAAUUAUGGUUUGUAAAACCUUUGUGUUUUCUAGUCCUUUUUAGUGUAUAGAAGUAUGGUGUGUAAAACCUUUCAAAAAUUCGGAUUCAAAACACUGGGUUCAGCAUGGACAUGCAUGGAUAUGGGGAAGCUUAUGUACCUAUUUAUGUUUUUAUCAAGUAACUUCAUGCAUUAGUGUCAGUUACCAUCACUCUCACUUCAUGUAUCCUUCAGAUUCAGCUACAGAUAGAAGAGCCUUGGUAGGAAUAGGCAUACAUUAAAAUCAUGAAACUUUCUGGAGAAAAUACAGAAGCAUUCAUCAUAUAUAAUGAAGGCCUAAUAAAUAUCCAAAACGUCGCAAUAUAUGUCUCACGAUAUCUGAACCCAUCUUCGUUUCAUGUUUUUUAGCUGCAUCUUUGUUUCCUAGCAAUAUAUGAACCUAUGUUCACUUGGUAAUUGAACAAAACUGAUAUCUUGGUUAAAAAUACUACAGCGCGAGGUAGCUCUCAUUGACAAUUUAGUUUAAUUGAUACAUGCCUCAAUGAACCAUGUAACCUUCAGUAUUAACGGUACAUGCCUCAAUGAACCAUGUAACAUUUCAACCUUUCAAAAAAAAACAUGUAAUAUUUCAACGAACCACGUAACCUUCUUUCUUAAUGAUACAUUCAACCCCUAUCGUCUUCAUCUCGCGCUGAUAGCAGCAACGGCAGUGGAGCAGACAAUGGGUUCGUGCCUGCCGUCGGUGUGUAGUGAUGGGGCGGUGGCGGUUGGCGUGGUUCGUCAGGGUGCGUGUGACACCGCGUGUGACGCCGCCCUGGCUAGGUGGCAGUGGACUAGGACAGCCAGCCAGUCGUGCACCACCAGACUCCCUGCAUUCCAGUCUCGGUCGCUUAUCCAGCUAUGCUGCUGCCGCUUUUUUUGUCCAUGCCCACAUGCAACAUUCCCACAUACAGGUAUCCAAAGGUUCGAAUAGAGAAGUCUUACCUGCCACACGACGAGGUAACAUACAUUCCCACCCAUCAUGCAUGAGAGAGAUAUGGAGCUCAACUCUUUCCUCUAUCAAUCUAUAUGCUUCUCCCGGUAAAUCCUUAGAUCUUAGAAUUUUGAGCCAAUGUUCCUUAAUGUUUUCAUAGAAGCUUCCCUUUGCAUAUAUGUCUAGAUUUGAAUGGAUUACCAGGCUUUCCUUUUUUGGAACCAUCCAUUCUUUUCUUUGGAUUUAAUGGCUAAUGUUAAGUUGGCUUAGAUUUUCAGAAUCGAACUUUAUAUAGGCAUGCCUUAGCCACAUCAGAUGCUUAAUGCUCGUCCUUGCUCAGAUCAUCAGAACCAGACUCAAUGCGUAAUGCUCAAGCUUGCUUUCACUGUCAAGAAUAACGAUAUCUCCAUGGCACACUGCCUCCUACUCAAUACACCAAAAUAAAGCAUCCAACAAAUUAGCCAAUUCAAAGGACUAAAAUGCAGUGGUCAAACUCAUGAAGCAAUUCGCCUAUGACUAAAUUGCAUCAGGACAAGCUGUGCAUUGUCAAUACCUUCUUUGGACAUUUCGAAUGGCUACCUACAGGAAGGGUUUGUUUCUCGGUCAAUAUUUCCUGUAACUGGCCGGUUUCCACUUCUUUCGGCCCCUCAUGAUAAAUGAGCACUGACUAACAAAAAAAAUCAGAUUUUGAGAAUUAUUGUUGUUGUUUUAAGUGCAUGUCCCCAAAAUGAUAAAGGUCGAUCGGUAAGUGACAUUAUUGACCUCACCAUGUCUAACAAGGUUUGGUUAAGCCUCUCAGAUACUUCAUUUCUCUAUGGAGUUUCAGGAGGAGUAAGUUGUGAUACAAUUCCACAAUCACUCAGAUGUUCGCUAAACUCAUGACUCGGAUAUUCUCCUCCAUGAUCUAAUUGUAGAAAUUUUAUAUUUUUGCCACGAUGAUUCUUAACUUUGUUAUGAAAUUCUUUGAACUUUUUAAAUGUUUCAGGCUUAUGUUUCAUCAAGUAAAUGUAAUCAUGUCUACUCAAAUCACCAAUGAAGGUUAUGAAGUAUAAGUAUCCACCCUGUGCAGGUGUGUGCAUCAGACCGCAUACAUCACUAUGUAUUAUCUUCAAUAAUUCACCUGCCUAUUCACGAUGACCUGUGAAUGGCGUCUUAGUCAUUUUACCCAUCAGACAAGCCUCGCAUGUGUCAAAUGAUUCAAAAUCAAAAGAUGGUAACACUCCAUCCUUAUGAAGUUUUUGCAUAUGCUUCUUUCUGAUGUAGGUGGUAUUACCAGUCUUCUUAAAACAUUUAGAAUUAAUGUUAUAGAUACCUUUUGCCCAUUCAAGAUCCAAUAUGAACAAACCACCGACAAUAGGGACAAAUUCUUAAAACAUAUUCUUAAAAUAAAUUGAACAACCAUUGCUCUUGGACUUAUAAGAAUAACCGUUGUUUAUUAAACAUGAUCCAGAGAUAAUGUUCUUACGCAACUUCGGAAUGAAAUAAAAAUUACUAAAGUUCUAAGAUACAUCCUCAAGGUAAACUUAAGACAUGACUCCGACGUCUUGAGCAAUGAUCCCAUCACCAUUCCCGACACACGUCACAAUUUCAUUCCUUUCCAGCUUGCGAACUUUCUGUAGUUGCUGCAUCGUGUUGCAAAUGUGAGCAACCAAUCCGGUAUCAAAUACCCAUGACUUAUAGGAAUUAUUUGCUAGUAGGAUAUCGAUAACAUCAUUUUGUAUAACUUUCAUACCUUUGCCGGAAGAACUGUCUUCUUAUCUGCCAAGUACUUCUUGUAGUUGUGUUUCCCGUGUCCCUUUUGCUUGUAGUAGAUACACUCAGUCUCCUUAUUGGCUCCACCCUUGUUCCUCUUCCGGGAUACGGUCACACCAGCCCCAUUAGAUUUCUUCUUGGACUUGCCCUUCUUGAAACUGUCGGUCUUAUUGACUAACAACACUUGCUUUUUCUUCUGCAUUCCAGCUUUCGCAGUUUUGAGCAUAGCGAACAACUCGUUUGCACUUUUCUCCAUCCCAUUCAUGUUGUAAUUCAUGAUAAAACCAUCGUAAGAUGGGGGGAAUGAAGCAAGCACAAUAUCUGUACCGAGUGUUGGAGGAAUUCCAAAUUCCAGAGAAGCCAUUCUAUCAACAUAGCCAACCAGCACUAUAUGCUCACUCAUCGAGGAACCUUCUACCAUCUUGCAUUCAAUCGAGGCCUUGGUUAUCUAAAAAUGUUUGGUGCCUGCUUUUUUCUUGUACAAAGCAUCCAAUGAUCCAAUAAUAAAUUGAGUACUAGACUGUUCAAAACGUUUUUGUAGUUCAAGAUCCAUGCAAGUCAGCAUGAGGCACCGGACUGACUCAUAGUCAUCAGUACGAGCAGUAUAAGCAGCUGCAAUUUCCUGCGACGCAUUUGGCGCAGGAGGAUCACCUAGGGGUUGAUCCAGCACAUACUCUUUCUUAACACUCAUGAGAACAAAUUUUAGGUUCCGGAUCCAAUCCGCAUAGUUUCCACCGUUUGCAACCAACUUGUCUUUCUCUAACAUAGGGGCUAAGUUGAAAACAUUGUGAGCCAUUGAUCUACAAUGAUAAACACAAAAUUCACUUGGACAUUAAUCAUAUUAAUUUGCACUAGUGUUUAAACAAAUUUUAAUAUAAAGUGCAACCCCACUCAAAUAAAUAUCUCUCAUAAUUCAAAGUGAGUGAUUCAAGACCCUGAUCUUAUUCACAACCAUUGAUGUGGACAUCACCGAUAAUGUGAACUUCAAAGGGUGCAAUAAAAAAGGAUAAACAUCUCAGGCAAUUUAUAAUAGCAUGAUAUGGUAUUGCCCCUGGCGCUGUGGAUGUCUCCAUGAUCCUCCAAGGUCUUCAUGAAAGUACUCUGAAGUGCUGUCAUGGAAACCACCUUGGUCUCUUGCGCCUGGUGAAGCCUUCUUGCGCCGGUGUCCUCUGUAGCAAGUCCAUCACUCCUGUCGAUAAAAUAAAGUAACAAGGUUGACACGCAGGUCAUUAAACUGACAAUCCCUUGGCUCCAGCCAUCAUGUCAUACUGUGACACGCAAGUCACUUAACGUUACAUCAUAUAACCAUCUCAUACAUAAACUCAUUAUCAUGAUGAAGGCUAUACCACAUUACAUGCAUCCUGCAAAACCAAGUUUGACGUCCUCUAAUCGGUUUGGCAAAUUUUAAUUAUGUGGCUUCUAGGGUUUCUGGAGAACUCUAGCUACCUAUGUCUAGGGGCAGAGCUACAUGUAUUACUAGGGGCGUCGCUGCCCCGAGUAUUGCUAAUCAGUGAAGGAAAUUUUCUUGUGAAGGGUCAAAUUUAGUAGAGU